GCUGGAGUCUGGAGACCGAGGGACACUAUCGGUGAACACUCGUGUCUUGGUUUCUCACAGGCAAAUCUGCCGACAGCAGAGACACAGAGCACACUGUCAGCAUUCAGUGGAAGAAUUUGACUGCGGGAUUUCACCAACAUGAAAAGACCAGACUCCACUGAUUCUGAACCUGACCCUGAACCUGGAACCAGCUGUAUGUCUGUGAGGAGGAGGAGGAGGAGUCGUUCAAUGGAUGUUGCUGAAAGUUUUAAUGGAGGGAAACACACAGCUGAUGACAAGAUGCAUCAGAGAUCAGACUCCUCUAAACCUGAAUCUGUAGCUCUAAGGAGUGAUCGAUCAAAGGAUGAACCCUAUGAGUUUAAAGAAAGACCACCCUC